GGCAGCACGAAAGCUCCAGCGAUGUAGAGCGCAGGACAGGUGGAGAAGGAGGUGGAGGCUGAUCGGGGAGAAGCAUGAAGAAUAGACCCGGUGUCUAAGCUGACAGACGGGGAGAGCAUCUCAUCUUCCCUCGCUCUUUAGGGGCCGAAUGGAAGCGGAGGGAGGCAGCGGGGCUGAGGACAUGAUGGAGGAGAAGAAGCAGUUUCUUUGAGGGGUGGUGGAAGGUUUCUAUGGGAGGCCUUGGUCUAUGGAUCAGAGGAAAGUUCUCUUUCAAUGGAUGCAACGCUGGGGUUUGAACACCUACCUGUACGGUCCAAAAGAUGACCUGAAACACAGAUUGUUGUGGAGAGAAGUCUACUCUCCUGAAGAGGAGGAGUGAUGCUGGUCUCAUCUUGUCCUGUUGAACUGAAGCUUCCUGUGUUUGGAGGAGCUGAGACAGAAGAAGAGAAGAAAGAAAAUGUAUUAACAAACGACUGUCUGUAAAAAGUGUAAAUGUUUCCUCUGGCUGUUAAAGAUGCUCCAUUUUGCAUCCCUACAUGAACAAAAACUUAUGCUGUAUACAAGAAAACUAACAAGUGAAUGCAUUGUUUGCAUUCUUAACAAUUAUGUUUCUUUAUCCAGGAUUCACAUUUUAUAGUCUAAUCCAUUCAAUUAUAUUUGACAACAGAGAUGUAAUCAACAAUAAAUAAAAAAUCACAGGGUCGGACUGAAAAGCAGACAGUGACUUGUUAAGGUGAAACAGUGUAUAGAAAUAAAGUGAAAUA